UUCACGGAGAGUUUGAUCCUGGCUCAGGACGAACGCUGGCGGCGUGCUUAACACAUGCAAGUGGAGCGACGAACCGGGGCUUGCCCCGGGGCAGAGCCGCGAACGGGUGAGUAACACGUGGGUAACCCACCCCGAUGACCGGGACAACCCGAGGAAACUCGGGCUAAUACCGGAUGUGGUCUGUCUCCACCAGGAGACAGAGCAAAGAUAGCUUCGGCCUUCGCAUCGGGACGGGCCCGCGGCCCAUUAGCUUGUUGGUGGGGUAACGGCCUACCAAGGCGACGAUGGGUAGCUGGUCUGAGAGGACGAUCAGCCACACUGGGACUGAGACACGGCCCAGACUCCUACGGGAGGCAGCAGUGGGGAAUCUUGCACAAUGCGCGAAAGCGUGAUGCAGCAACGCCGCGUGAGGGAAGACGGCCUUCGGGUUGUAAACCUCUUUCAGUUGGGACGAAGCUUCGUCGGUUAAUAGCCGGCUGGAGUGACGGUACCUUCACAAGAAGCCCCGGCUAACUACGUGCCAGCAGCCGCGGUAAUACGUAGGGGGCAAGCGUUGUCCGGAAUCAUUGGGCGUAAAGCGCGUGUAGGCGGUUCGGUAAGUCCGCUGUAAAAGUCGGGGGCUCAACCCUCGAAAGCCGGUGGAUACUGUCGGGCUAGAGUGCGGAAGAGGCGAGUGGAAUUCCUGGUGUAGCGGUGAAAUGCGCAGAUAUCAGGAGGAACACCAAUUGCGAAGGCAGCUCGCUG
rnacentral:rRNA from 1 species